rnacentral:rRNA from 1 species
CAGGCCUAACACAUGCAAGUCGAACGGUAACAGGAAGCAGCUUGCUGCUUCGCUGACGAGUGGCGGACGGGUGAGUAAUGUCUGGGAAACUGCCUGAUGGAGGGGGAUAACUACUGGAAACGGUAGCUAAUACCGCAUAACGUCGCAAGACCAAAGAGGGGGACCUUCGGGCCUCUUGCCAUCGGAUGUGCCCAGAUGGGAUUAGCUAGUAGGUGGGGUAACGGCUCACCUAGGCGACGAUCCCUAGCUGGUCUGAGAGGAUGACCAGCCACACUGGAACUGAGACACGGUCCAGACUCCUACGGGAGGCAGCAGUGGGGAAUAUUGCACAAUGGGCGCAAGCCUGAUGCAGCCAUGCCGCGUGUAUGAAGAAGGCCUUCGGGUUGUAAAGUACUUUCAGCGGGGAAGAAGGUGAUGGACUUAAUAAGUGCAUCAAUUGACGUUACCCGCAGAAGAAGCACCGGCUAACUCCGUGCCAGCAGCCGCGGUAAU